UUCAACCAGAUUUAUGUAAUUUCUGUUUGAUUCCUCGAUCUCAUUAGUUUCAUGGGGUUCGGUUGUUAUCAUUUUCACAUACAAGUCCUUCUCAGAAGAUAAUCUAGAGAAAACAUUGUUCCUUUCGAACCUUUAGUUUUUCAAUUUCUUAUAUGACAUCUACAGUUUUUGAUUUAUUGUUAUUUUGAAUUAUAGAGUUCCUCUUAUGGGUUUUAAUAAGAUUCAUAAUAUAUUUGAUUUUUAGGGCAUUGGGUUUAGCCGUUUAGGAAAAAUUAGUGUUUUCUCCAAAUUGGGUUUUUCUGGGUUUAGCCAAUUCUAGGGUUUUUUUACUCUUCCGUGAGAUGAUGUCACUCCUCCACCAUCUGCAACUGUAACGGCAACAUCAACCCCUCUUCCAUUUAAUUCCUGCCGAAGUAACUCCGUUCAUAUUUUUUUAAUACAUGUUAGAAAUUUAUGCUUUUCAGGAAUUUUGGGUUGUUUUUUCAAUAUUUAGUUGAAUCUAAAAGUUUAUAAGAGAUAUUCUUUGUUUGUAAUAGCAGGAAAUGGCAAUUCAAUGAUGCAAGGGGAUUCAAUCGUGGUAUCAGAAGCCUUUAUCAAAGGAACCAGAAUUUCCAGGACAAAUCUUAUAUGGUCCACAAAUGCAUGAAUAAGUUGCCAGUACCUUUCAAGAAUUUAACCACAAUGUUUAGUUCUCAAUGGAUAAUUUCUGAAGCACGGGGAGUAUUUUGGAUUCAGAGAGUAGCAAAAAUCGUGGUCAUUUUCUGUACGGCACACUAAGUUGAAUGAGAAUUCAAUCAAAUGGCUGGGUUUUAGAAGACGCUCUUAGUGGCGAGAUGCUUUAGGAAAAUUAGAAUCCGUCUCAGAUGUUACCAUGGUAUUGUUUGAUACCCAGGAUAGGACUAGCGAAGUGCCAAAGAGGGAAAUAGCAAUCCAAGAUGCAAAGUAACUUUGUGGGAAGAAUGGUGCAUAUCAGUAGUGGGGGAGAUGAAGAUGGAAAUGUGCCAGUAAUUGUUAUAAUAACUGCAACGUUCGUAAGCGAGUUUCUAGGUACACUUGGAUUGGCCACAAACACUGCGUUCAAGGUAUUGGUCAAUCUGGCCAUAUCUGAGGUCAAUGAAUUCAGAAAAAUAAAGAAAAUGAGAUUUCAAAAGAUCGACCUGGCCCUGCAAGAUGAUCCAUCCGAGAUUGUAAAGACUAUACAGGAAACGACUGAUAUGCUGCAGUACGAUGAUAACAAAUUUAUCCAUGCAGUAGGAUAAAUAUUCACCUGUGAAGCGAUAUACUUGGGCUUAGUUGGGUAGAGAGUGGUUCUCAUGCAAGAAAUGCACUAGAAAAGUUGUAUAUGAAGGUGAUGAGCCCUUCUGCAGCAAGUGCAACAGAGAUUUUAAAGAAGAAGUGCCGUGGUAAAUUUAAAUUUGCAAAUUUUGACGCAGGAGUAAUUCACUGAGAUAUAUUUGUUUUGAUGCGAAAGACGACGGAAAAGUUGAUGAGGUGCACCGCUGAUGAGCAUGUAAGGUACAUGGAACACUGUUGCAAGGUAUGGGGUAUUGGUAUGAAUCGUAUGUUUGGAUGGAUACAUAUUGUACUGUGGGGUCAUGCUCACCAAGUUGUUAUAUAGUCUAAUUGCAGGUCAACAAAGCGGAACAGGAAGAAAGUUGGUUUAAAAAGAUCAAAGAUAGUACUUUUGUUUUUCAAAUUGGUGAUUAGAGAGUACAAUUUAACCAACCAAUCUAAGAACUUUAUGGUAUUAAGGUUUUCUCUUCUAAUUAGAUUAAAAUGUAAUAAUUGCUAAAUACAAUCUUCGAAACACGUAGGAUAGAUUUGAGGAGCCCGGUUUGCAUCCAAGCUUUUGUUUAAGGCAUGGAUUGUUGAUGAACUAACUCUUUCUUUGAGAUCUCAUGUAUGAGCUCCAAUAAUAGUGAUAGAUCACCAGGAUUUUUUAUUUUGUUAUUUUUGAACUUAUUCUAUUUUGCAGGUUUUAGACUUUGACUAGCCUUAUUAGGUAGUUCUAAUAAAUCAUAGUAUCUAUGCUUAUUACCAGUAAUUGACGAGGCUUAACUGAAUGGACCUGGACAUGUAAUUAGGAGCCAUAUAGUUCACAUUGGUCGGUUAAUCAGUGCUGAUCUCAGAUAUUAAUCCUUCCCUCCUUUUAAUAAUUUUAAACUCGAUGGCUAUCUUUAUAUCUAGCAGUUCAAACCACAUUAUGCAUGUUAGUCGGCGUAGAAAAGAACUUCGCUUAGUAUGAUGCGGCUGUGUCCUAUAUUUUUUUCUCUUUUUUUUUUAUUAUAAUGUUUGAUUUGGUUCACUGAGGCCUCUCUCUGUUGCAUAUUCUGGUAAAUUACUGAUUGUAUUUCACUGUAAUUAGGAUAUUUAGUUUCAGUGUCACUGUUUUACAAUUUAGGUCCACUGGGUGCAAUAUGAUAAAUGCUUAGGAAUUUGUUGACCAUGUGUGUUAUGGAACCUUUCAUGUGCAACGUCUAAUGAUGGAAUGAAAAAUCAUUUGGGGUUCAAUGUACACAAAGGUGAGCAUCAGCUUGAAGGUUGAAAGGUUAAUGUGCUUCCGCAUAAAUUGCAAUUGACAAUUCUGUUUUUGUUGUUUAAUUCGAUGAGUAUCUUUUUGCAAGUACCAAUUGGGUGAUUAUUGAUAUACCAAUUUGUUUCGUUUAACUUUAUACAGGCGGUCUCUCAAACCAUGGGAUCUGAGACCACUGAUAGAUGAUAAGAGUCACAUUGAGCUUUAGAUUUAUUUAUCUAAUAGCCAGUACGGUUCAACCUCUGGCAUAUUCUUUAAAGUUCCUCAAUACUCGGUGUAUUUAGUCAUUACUGAUUUACUAUAUUGUUCAUAGCUCAGUUUGUGCGUCUUUUUUUCUGUCUUGAUAGUCACGUGAGUCAUUACUUAUGUUCCUUUUAGGUAGCGACUCCUUGAUUACCUCAUGACGCGUCAAAAUUUCCAUAUUCUUGGCUUGGAUAUAAUGUUGUCUCUAGAUAUCCCCAUCACGCACAUGAUUGACCGCCGGAAAUUCAAAAUUCUUUGGUAGGUUCGUGUUGUAAUUUCAGAGUAACAUAUUUAGAAAGUAAUAUGUAGCACCGAGAUAGCUUCGGUUGGUUUCUCCAUAUUAUUUUGCAGUGAAUUCGCUGAGCUUGGCACACUUGCAGAGAUCGGCUGUGUUCGCCAGUACACUCUCUCACUGCUACCAUUAGUUUCACAGACUCCUAGAAAUUAAAAAUAUAGUUCUGAUCACUUUUUUUGUUCUAGAUAAAGCGUAUUGAACACCUUUAAAAGGACAAGAAUCUGCAGUUGGUGUGCAACUAACCUUGAAGUACGUAGAAGGAUCGCGUUUUUACAAACUCUCGGUUCAUAAGGAUGCCACGUUUUCCAUUAGUUUUUAUAAUGCUAUCAUUGAGGUGAUAUUUGUGUUACUGUUUGGACAAAACUAACUUGAGUCAUGUUUCUGUCGUCACAAUUUGUACUUAAUUAGUUAGUCAAUUUUUUUUACCUGCUAAUUCUCUGUUGUUCGUCUUUUAUGAUAUCCAUUAGGGUAACAUGUGAAGUAAGUAUCAGGGAAAAGGAAAGUUUCUCAAAGUUGUUGAUGCUUCAUCUCCUAAUACGGGGGAUCAGUUAUAAUUAUAAGUACCCAUAUCUUCUCACUAUGUUAUUGAUUUAUGUUCCAGAAGUUACACCAUUAUUUUUGCUCAUCAGUGGAGCACUUCGGCUUUAACUUUCUCUUUCUUUUUGUACUCCUGUUUGCUUCGUAUUUGGACCUAUUGGGAAGUGCAGGUUGGUCUCUGCUUCAUCUUCAUAAUUGUUGUAGUUGCAGAGGGGUUCCUUGAGGGUGGGUUUAUUUGGGGACAUUUCCUUUAUGUGUCCUGAGUUCAUGCAGUUUUGGGAAGGUGAUCAUGAAUACACAGACGUCGUCAUUCACUGAAAUACUGGAGUAUCUGAACGUUCCAUCAUUGAUAUUGACUUCUGCAACCACUUAGAAAUAGCUAUAGCAGUUAAGUCUUAUGACAGCUACCUUUGUUAGAUUUGACUACCGCAGUCAGCUUCCUCCCUGCUCAUUUGCAGUACUUCCAUGUACAUUGUUGAGCCUACGUGACAACAAAAGUGAUUAAAGACAAGUCUGACUUUAUUCAAUCCUAAGUUUUUUCAUCGUUGCCAUUACCUUUCAAAUGUAGGUGUUGGCUAUGGAAGCAGACGAGGUCAAUGCUUUGUUUCAAAUCCUAAUCCAUUGAUCUCCCUAGGUAUAGUUUGAGAUAUAUAAAGAUUCGAUGGCAGUUACAUGUUUUAGUUAUCACCUAGGUAUGAUUCUGAUGACUAUUGCAAAUCCCACCCAGUUGGUCAGAAAUUAGAGAGAAACUUCUACGCUAUCUAUAUUGUGUUGAGGGUUUUGAUUUAAUAUUUGUUCUCUCGGGUUGAGAGGAGAUCAUUCGAUGAAAUAAAUCUAGGAAUGAAAUGUAUCUGGUAAAGGUUUUACAUAAAUUGAAUUUCAAAGAGGUUAAUUACUUCAUGUACAUUUAUCUAAUAUUUG